rnacentral:tRNA from 1 species
GCACUGGUCGUUUAAUGGUAAAAUUCUUGCCUUCCACAUGGAAGGCCGGGGUUGGAUUCCCAGCCAAUGCA